rnacentral:tRNA from 1 species
AUAGCUUAGUGGUAGAGUGCUUGCCUAGCACGCAGGAGGCCCUGGGAUUAAUCCCCAGU